rnacentral:rRNA from 1 species
UACGAAGGGGGCUAGCGUUGCUCGGAAUCACUGGGCGUAAAGGGUGCGUAGGCGGGUCUUUAUGUCAGGGGUGAAAUCCUGGAGCUCAACUCCAGAACUGCCUUUGAUACUGAGGAUCUUGAGUUCGGGAGAGGUGAGUGGAACUGCGAGUGUAGAGGUGAAAUUCGUAGAUAUUCGCAAGAACACCAGUGGCGAAGGCGGCUCACUGGCCCGAUACUGACGCUGAGGCACGAAAGCGUGGGGAGCAAACAGG